GAACCGCAUAACUUUUCCAACCCAGGAAGUAACUGCACUUUGAUGGAAGGCGCAGAGUCUAUUUCAGAGUGCAGAUGUGGAAACUGAGGCCGGAAGAGGGCGAGUAUCCUGCUCCAUUCCAGUGCCAGACGGAGGGGCAGGGCUGGCAGUAAGGGAAUUUCCUACGUCCAGCGCCUUCUGGGUGUGCCUGACCUCUGGCCCGGUUCCUGGGUUCCUGGUUCCCUGCCUGGGCAGGGUCUCUGCCUCUCUGCCUCCUGGUGUGUCCAGCUGGAGUGGGCAGUAAUGCUGUGGUCACAGCUGAGCUGCGGGAGCCCUGGGUGGGGAGCUUGAGCCCCAGAAGGCCCAGACAGACAGACCACCCCCCACGCCUGUGCUCCCCAGGGGGCAUUGGGGACGGUCAGGGACACAGCUGGUCACCCCGCCUUCCCCUCCUUAGUCAUGGUCACUCCUGGGGCGACUCCCCAGUUAGAGGGUUGACGGGUGGGUCUGGGGGCGUACAGGGAUUGGAUCCUACCCCACCCAAAAGGAACAGAGAGCUGUGAUGGAGGCUGAUUCCCCUAAGCCUGCCAGCGGUUGCGGGGUGGGAAGGGCUCCCUGUGCGCCCACCUGCGCGUGGGCAGCUGGAAGCCAAGCAGUCAGGGUGGGGCCGCAGGCCGGCGCGCACCUCGGGGUGCCACCCGGGCGGCGGACCCGAAGUUGAAGUUUAUUUUCCCAAC
ensembl:lncRNA novel transcript, antisense to INF2